ACAGGGAGUAAAAGGUGACCCUGGCCUGCCAGGUUUUAUGGGUGAUCAAGGUACCAAAGGACCGCAGGGAGCUGCAGGAAGUAAAGGUACUGAAGGUGAAAAAGGAGGACAAGGACCUAACGGACUUCUGGGUGCUUUUGGUG